CGCCCUCUUAGGCUGAGUACACUGUGAACUAAUGUGACCCUCUCCGUUGCAAUUAAAGCACACAAUGUCCGUACGAUUGCAAUCAGCUACAACAUGACCUUUCUUGCCACACCGGACACACUUCUUGAUUUCCUCAGGGCAGACGUUGCUUUUGUGGCCUUUCUCACCACAAUUGAAACACACAAUCUCUGCAGCAUCCUUCUUCUUAGGCCGCCUAAC
rnacentral:lncRNA from 1 species